UGGGGAAUAUUGCGCAAUGGGCGAAAGCCUGACGCAGCAACGCCGCGUGAGUGAUGAAGGCCUUCGGGUCGUAAAGCUCUUUCGGUGGGGACGAAAAGGUUCGUGCUAAUACCACGGACUAAUGACGGUACCCGAAGAAGAAGCACCGGCUAACUACGUGCCAGCAGCCGCGGUAAUACGUAGGGUGCAGGCGUUAAUCGGAAUUACUGGGCGUAAAGCGUGCGCAGGCGGUUUGUUAAGACAGAUGUGAAAUCCCCGGGCUUAACCUGGGAACUGCGUUUGUAACUGGCAAGCUAGAGUGUGGCAGAGGGGGGUGGAAUUCCAAGUGUAGCAGUGAAAUGCGUAGAUAUGUGGAGGAAUACCGAUGGCGAAGGCAGCCCCCUGGGAUAACACUGACGCUCAUGCACGAAAGCGUGGGGAGCAAACAGGAUUAGAUACCCCAGUAGUCCCUGAGCGGGCUGGCAAGGCGCAU
rnacentral:rRNA from 1 species